rnacentral:rRNA from 1 species
GUGAGGAAUAUUGGACAAUGGGGGCAACCCUGAUCCAGCCAUUCCGCGUGAGUGAAGAAGGCCUUCGGGUUGUAAACUGCUUUUGUACGGAACGAAACGGUCCUGGCUAAUAUCCGGGGCUAAUGACGGUACCGUAAGAAUAAGCACCGGCUAACUACGUGCCAGCAGCCGCGGUAAUACGUAGGGUGCGAGCGUUAAUCGGAAUUACUGGGCGUAAAGCGUGCGCAGGCGGUGCUGUAAGACAGGCGUGAAAUCCCCGGGCUCAACCUGGGAAUUGCGCUUGUGACUGCAGUGCUGGAGUGCGGCAGAGGGGGAUGGAAUUCCGCGUGUAGCAGUGAAAUGCGUAGAUAUGCGGAGGAACACCGAUGGCGAAGGCAAUCCCCUGGGCCUGCACUGACGCUCAUGCACGAAAGCGUGGGGAGCAAACAGGAUUAGAAACCCUUGUAGUCC